GAUGAAGAACGUAGCGAAAUGCGAUACGUAAUGUGAAUUGCAGAAUUCAGUGAAUCAUCGAGUCUUUGAACGCACAUUGCGCCCGCCAGUAUUCUGGCGGGCAUGCCUGUCUGAGCGUCAUUUCAACCCUCAUGCCCCUAGGGCGUGGUGUUGGGGAUCGGCCAAAGCCCGCGAGGGACGGCCGGCCCCUAAAUCUAGUGGCGGACCCGUCGUGGCCUCCUCUGCGAAGUAGUGAUAUUCCGCAUCGGAGAGCGAUGAGCCCCUGCCGUUAAACCCCCAACUUUCCAAGGUUGACCUCAGAUCAGGUAGGAAUACCCGCUGAACUUAAGCAUAUCAAUAAGCGGAGGA
rnacentral:misc_RNA from 1 species